GACGAAGGGGGCUAGCGUUGUUCGGAAUUACUGGGCGUAAAGCGCGUGUAGGCGGUUGUCCAAGUUGGAUGUGAAAGCCUUGAGCUCAACUCAAGAAAUGCAUUCAGGACUGGGCGACUAGAGGACCGGAGAGGAUAGUGGAAUUCCCAGUGUAGUGGUGAAAUACGUAGAGAUUGGGAAGAACACCAGUGGCGAAGGCGGCUAUCUGGACGGUUUCUGACGCUAAGACGCGAAAGCGUGGGGAGCAAACAGG
rnacentral:rRNA from 1 species